rnacentral:rRNA from 1 species
UACGUAGGGUGCGAGCGUUAAUCGGAAUUACUGGGCGUAAAGUGUGCGCAGGCGGCCGAGCAAGUCGAGUGUGAAAGCCCCGAGCUUAACUUGGGAACUGCGCUCGAAACUACUUGGCUAGAGUGUGGCAGAGGGAGGUGGAAUUCCACGUGUAGCGGUGAAAUGCGUAGAUAUGCGGAGGAACACCGAUGGCGAAGGCAAUCUCCUGGGCCUGCACUGACGCUCAUGCACGAAAGCGUGGGGAGCAAACAGG